AUCCAGCUAACGAGUCCCAAAUAGGACGAAAUGAGCCUUGUGGAU
rnacentral:hammerhead_ribozyme from 1 species